UCAUCCUGCAGUUCCCUGGACGUGCAACCACGUCCUCUCUCCUGGUGAGUCACGACCUCCCACGCCCAGCACAGUGUAGAAAUAUUUGACUGAAACCCGAAUAAGAUCGGAAGAACAAGUUGAGCAGGUAAAACAUUUCCCUGCUGUCAAUUUCAUAAACUGCUCAACCUGGCUUCAAGAUGGAAGGAAGACAGAAGGAGGGUUUUUAGCAACACAAGGUUUUACAUAAUCCCACAGAAACUAAGGAUCUGCAAUAAGGCAGAUAUUUUGAAGAUGAGGUUCGUCAGGAUCUAGGACAGGACAGAAGAGACAAAUGUUCUGAAAAGGGAAAAACUAGAGGAGGUCUAAGGGGACGUUCAAACCUACAGCUGUGCCACAAUGAGUGUGUUAUGCAGUCUAGAAGGUCCCUUCCCUCAUGGCUGAUCACUCUGCUAAAGAAGAAGCUUCUGCCUCAUGCAGCAGCAAGAAUGUUAAACCAGAGGAAGAAAGUGAAACGACACAAUUGUCUCAUUUUUCAUCAGAGCUGUCACACUCAUCUAUAAUAAAAGGCCUUCCAGUCUAUUAUUACUUCAGGAGCACUAACACUUCUCAGAGGACCUCCCUACCCCAAGGAGUUUUUACUCGAUCUCCAAAGAAGAUAUAACAUUCUCAAAGAGUGAGUCAAUUUAUCGGGUGAGUGAAGGCAUAAAUUACUCAGCCAUCCAUCUUUACAUCUCAGAUCUGCAUAGUUCUGCAGAGAUUUGCGUAUUACACCAGGUUGCAUCUCAAGGCAAGCCCUGGGCUCGACAGAAAUUCUCAGGCUGAGGUUUACAAGCCAUGGGAGUUUUGCAUACUUCCAUGGCUUUUGGUAUAAGUUAUUGACCCUUGAUCAUGAUG